CUCCUGCUGUCCAUCUGCAUGCCGACGAUGCGCUUGUCCUCCACGCCGUCGAUGCUGCACCUAGGAGACGGAGGAGAGGACACGAGACGAACACCACGGUCUGGUUGCUGUGGGGACCGGCUUCAGUGUCCACCACGAUGCGAGUCAGGCGAUACCUGGAAGAGAGGCGACACCGAGCAGCAGCCAGGCACCCCAACACCGUCUCAGGUCCUGAAACUAUGGCAACGGAAUGAGAGAGCAAGCGCUCUCUAUGAUUAAUAGAUGAGAGAUGCGGUGCCAAUCGCUGGGGCCCGGUGAGGAGGGACAGAUGCACUCGAACGGCGGCUCCCAAACACGCACACGGAGAGAGUGCACGGGCGUAGGACACACAUUCAAACAACUCCCCCACCACCACCACCACCACCACCACCACCGCCAUCAUUAGCCACCCUCCGUGCUUUGUGGUACAGUUAUGGACAUGCAAUGGGGGGAAAGGCCUGACAUUGACACGAGGUGUUUGCAGAGUCAUGGGCCUAAAAGAGCAGAAGAAGAAGGAGCAGAGUUUAUCUGACGACGCACCUCCUUCACGGGUCUUACCGGACUCUCUCCGUGAGCCGGCGCAGACAGGACUUCAUGUCUUCGAUGCCCGAUUGCGCCGCGACUGACAUCACACGCGAUCCGAUAUUGCACAAGAGUCGGCUCUUCUCGAGGCCGGGCCGUUCAUCCAUCUCCCACCCAGACAAUCGCACAUAAAUUCCUGCUGCUUUCGGAUUAAACGCCCCCCCCCCCCGCAUUUGAGUAAUGACAGGCGACCGAACGCAACUGUGUCAAAGGUAUUACUGCGUGUGACUGACGCAUGUGUACUAUGUAUGUCAAAUGUAAACCAAAAUAAAAACAAUCCACGAGGAGAAA